rnacentral:rRNA from 1 species
AGAAUCAACGCUGGCGGCGCGCUUAACACAUGCAAGUCGAGCGAGAAAGGGGAGCAAUCCCUGAGUACAGCGGCGUACGGGUGAGUAACACGUGGGUAAUCUGCCUUCUAGUGGGGGAUAACCCUGGGAAACCGGGGCUAAUACCGCAUAAGCCUGUGAAGGGAAAGCGAGCAAUCGCGCUGGAAGAGGAGCCCGCGGCCGAUUAGCUAGUUGGUGGGGUAACGGCCACCAAGGCGAUGAUCGGUA